AGUUUGAUCCUGGCUCAGAUUGAACGCUGGCGGCAUGCUUUACACAUGCAAGUCGAACGGCAGCACGGGUGCUUGCACCUGGUGGCGAGUGGCGGACGGGUGAGUAAUGCAUCGGAACGUGUCCUGAAGUGGGGGAUAACGCAUCGAAAGAUGUGCUAAUACCGCAUAUUCUCUGAGGAGGAAAGUAGGGGAUCGAAAGACCUUAUGCUUUUGGAGCGGCCGAUGUCUGAUUAGCUAGUUGGUAGGGUAAAAGCCUACCAAGCCGACGAUCUGUAGCUGGUCUGAGAGGACGACCAGCCACACUGGGACUGAGACACGGCCCAGACUCCUACGGGAGGCAGCAGUGGGGAAUUUUGGACAAUGGGCGCAAGCCUGAUCCAGCCAUGCCGCGUGCGGGAAGAAGGCCUUCGGGUUGUAAACCGCUUUUGUCAGGGAAGAAACGCUCCAGGCUAAUACCCUGGGGUAAUGACGGUACCUGAAGAAUAAGCACCGGCUAACUACGUG
rnacentral:rRNA from 1 species